AGGGAGCAAGCGUUAUCCGGAUUUACUGGGUGUAAAGGGCGCGUAGGCGGGGAUGCAAGUCAGAUGUGAAAUCCCGAGGCUCAACCUCGGAACUGCAUUUGAAACUGUAUUUCUUGAGUGAUGGAGAGGCAGGCGGAAUUCCUAGUGUAGCGGUGAAAUGCGUAGAUAUUAGGAGGAACACCAGUGGCGAAGGCGGCCUGCUGGACAUUAACUGACGCUGAGGCGCGAAAGCGUGGGGAGCAA
rnacentral:rRNA from 1 species